AGCGAGACUGCCGUGGGCGAACACGGAGGAAGGUGGGGAUGACGUCAAAUCAUCAUGCCCCUUAUGAUCUGGGCUACACACGUGCUACAAUGGUCGGUACAACGGGCAGCGGAGGAGCGAUCUGGAGCGAAUCCUAAAAGCCGAUCCCAGUUCGGAUUGCAGGCUGCAACUCGCCUGCAUGAAGUCGGAGUUGCUAGUAAUCGCAGAUCAGCAUGCUGCGGUGAAUGCGUUCCCGGGUCUU
rnacentral:rRNA from 1 species